CACCCUAGUCCCUGGAUCCGGGAGACAGGGUUGCAAGCUUUGCUUCCUGUCUCCUUGCCAGUCAGUCUCAUGAUUCAGCUCUUUUUCUUUCUUCCUUUUCUUUCUCAAAAGCCGGUGCCAUGAUAUUGGCUUCUCUGCGUGUUAGGCAGUGUAACGCCCAGGUUCAACUGAAGCCCCAGCCUGUCCACAGUCAGGAAAACCAAAAGCCCCAAGAAGUCUAAGCUGCUAGAACAUACUCCCUCAGACUUCAAGACCUGCUAGAGAAAAAGUUUGAGUUAAGGAAGGAAAAGCUAAAAAGAUCUUCGUUUUCUAGGAAAAGGAAGGAAAACUAGUGCUGAACAAGUGAUCAGACCUCCACUUGUCUGCACCCAAACAACUCUUGGUAAGAAGGCUGCUUUGAGCAACUUGGAUGAGCAAUAACAGAAAAAGGAGCAUCUCGAUCUCCAUCACAUCCUUCCCAAAGUUCUUCUGCCAUUUUCCCUGAGGAUUCAUCCUUGCCUCUUUUCCUAAUGAAUCGACGGAUUCCCUGAAGGGGGGUUGGGGGGCCUUCCUUGCCUGCGCAGAUCAGUUGAGGACCAGAGCAGACCCGUUAACACCAAAAUAAAUUAGGCCAACAUUC